rnacentral:lncRNA from 13 species
CUCAACUUCCAUGGGAAAAUAGAUAUAUUUCAGUGUGUGUGUAAAACAUAGAAAUGCUUUUUAGUUAACAGGUUUACCAAAGAUAGGAGAACAUGAGAUAAAGAAUAAUUUUCUCUUAGGCCAGUUGAAUAUACAUGAACAUUUUUAAUACAUCUUUUUAUUCCAUCUGCCAUUUUCAUGCUUUAGUGCAUCAAAUGUUCCACUCCUUCUCACUCAUUUUUUACUUACAAAAUAUUAGCCAUAUCCUUCUAUAUUUACCCAAGAGCCCUGGCAUAUUCACUGCUUCAGUGCUCACCUACUAGGAUAAAGUAUCCAGCAAAUUUUGUCUGAAUACUGCCCUUCUGCCUUCUCAUUCAUGUGUGACAUCCAUUUGUUAUGCUGCAAGAUACUGGCCUAUUCCCUGCUGUGAGUACCCAAAGACCUCUCCACCUUGAUGUUAUAAUGCAAAGUAACCUAGAUAUUUUGUGUUCCUCCAUAUUUCUUUUGUCUCUGUCUUCCUUUCUCUGACAACAUUAGAGCAUAAAUAACAACUAAAAUACGAUUAAAGUCAAUAUUAUUUGUGGCCAGUAUGCUUUUUUUUUGUAAAUCAUAUUGUUGAUAGAUUACUUCUAAUCCAAUGUGACUAAUAGUCAUAGUCAUGAUAGUCAUUUGUGUUCUUUCCAAGACAGAAAGAAAGAGAGAACGAGAAAGAAGAGAUUUUCCUACACUGAGCAUAUUUUGCUUUUUUGCCAUCAGUUGUGAUCACAUGCUCAUUCGGAUGGGCAUUUCCUGGAGAGCUACAUGUACAUGUGGAAUAAGGAGGGGGAACUGUAAUCCCUGGUAUAUUAAUGAACUUCAACUGAUACAAGCUUCUUGGAGUGGGGAUCAUGGCUGUGUCAGAAGCUAUCAGUAAGCAAUCCUUAUGUUCUUCAUUUACAACUGUAGUAAUAAGAUCCAUGUGUCAAGCA